AUUCGCCCUUAGAGUUUGAUCCUGGCUCAGGAUGAACGCUAGCUACAGGCUUAACACAUGCAAGUCGAGGGGAAACGACAUCGAAAGCUUGCUUUUGAUGGGCGUCGACCGGCGCACGGGUGAGUAACGCGUAUCCAACCUGCCCACCACUUGGGGAUAACCUUGCGAAAGUAAGACUAAUACCCAAUGACGUCUCUAGAAGACAUCUGAAGGAGAUUAAAGAUUUAUCGGUGAUGGAUGGGGAUGCGUCUGAUUAGCUUGUUGGCGGGGUAACGGCCCACCAAGGCGACGAUCAGUAGGGGUUCUGAGAGGAAGGUCCCCCACAUUGGAACUGAGACACGGUCCAAACUCCUACGGGAGGCAGCAGUGAGGAAUAUUGGUCAAUGGACGAGAGUCUGAACCAGCCAAGUAGCGUGCAGGAUGACGGCCCUAUGGGUUGUAAACUGCUUUUAUAAGGGAAUAAAGUGAGUCUCGUGAGACUUUUUGCAUGUACCUUAUGAAUAAGGACCGGCUAAUUCCGUGCCAGCAGCCGCGGUAAUACGGAAGGUCCGGGCGUUAUCCGGAUUUAUUGGGUUUAAAGGGAGCGUAGGCCGGAGAUUAAGCGUGUUGUGAAAUGUAGAUGCUCAACAUCUGCACUGCAGCGCGAACUGGUUUCCUUGAGUACGCACAAAGUGGGCGGAAUUCGUGGUGUAGCGGUGAAAUGCUUAGAUAUCACGAAGAACUCCGAUUGCGAAGGCAGCUCACUGGAGCGCAACUGACGCUGAAGCUCGAAAGUGCGGGUAUCGAACAGGAUUAGAUACCCUGGUAGUCCGCACGGUAAACGAUGGAUGCCCGCUGUUGGUCUGAAUAGGUCAGCGGCCAAGCGAAAGCAUUAAGCAUCCCACCUGGGGAGUACGCCGGCAACGGUGAAACUCAAAGGAAUUGACGGAAGGGC
rnacentral:rRNA from 1 species